rnacentral:lncRNA from 1 species
UAGGACGCUGCGCCCCACCCGAUGGGGCUCACAAGCUCUGUUCAGCCUCUAGCGCUUAUAGUAUUCUGUGUUAUUAUUUUUUUGAUUUAGAAAGAGCUAUUCCUCAGCAGAUUCCUUCUCCCCUCCCUGUGCCCAGUUGUUUCAGAGAGCCUCGCAGAAGCAAACACAAGUAAGAGCAGAGGGAAGAGGGAGAAGUCACAGCCCAGAAGGACAUCUAGAGCCCAGUCAGAAUAAGAAGCCUCAAAGGAUGCUUCAGGCCUCUGUCUCCCAGCACCAGCAGGCAGCCUGAAAAUUGGGUUAGAGCAAGGGGCAAAUUAUGG